UACGGGGGAUGCAAGCGUUAUCCGGAAUGAUUGGGCGUAAAGCGUCCGUAGGUGGUUUAUCAAGUCAGUUGUCAAAGCGUGGAGCUUAACUCCAUAUAGGCAGUUGAAACUGAUAGGCUAGGGUGCGAUAGGGGCAAGGGGAAUUCCCCGUGUAGCGGUGAAAUGCGUAGAGAUGGGGAAGAACACCGGAGGCGAAAGCGCCUUGCUGGGUCGCGACCGACACUGAGGGACGAAAGCCAGGGGAGCGAAAGGG
rnacentral:rRNA from 1 species